rnacentral:rRNA from 1 species
GGGGGGGGCAAGCGUUGUUCGGAAUUACUGGGCGUAAAGGGCUCGUAGGCGGCCAACUAAGUCGGACGUGAAAUCCCCAGGCUCAACCUGGGAACUGCGUCCGAUACUGGAUGGCUUGAAUCCGGGAGAGGGAUGCAGAAUUCCAGGUGUAGCGGUGAAAUGCGUAGAUAUCUGGAGGAAUACCGGUGGCGAAGGCGGCAUCCUGGACCGGCAUUGACGCUGAGGAGCGAAAGCCAGGGGAGCAAACGGGAUUAGAUACCCCGGUAGUCCUGGCCCUAAACGAUGAAUGCUUGGUGUGACGGGUAUCGAUCCCUGUCGUGCCGAAGCUAACGCAUUAAGCAUUCCGCCUGGGGAGUACGGUCGCAAGGCUGAA